AGUGAACGCUGGCGGUAGGCCUAACACAUGCAAGUCGAACGGCAGCACAGGAGAGCUUGCUCUCUGGGUGGCGAGUGGCGGACGGGUGAGGGAUACAUCGGAAUCUACUCUGUCGUGGGGGAUAACGUAGGGAAACUUACGCUAAUACCGCAUACGACCUACGGGUGAAAGCAGGGGACCUUCGGGCCUUGCGCGAUUGAAUGAGCCGAUGUCGGAUUAGCUAGUUGGCGGGGUAAAGGCCCACCAAGGCGACGACCCGUAGCUGGUCUGAGAGGAUGAUCAGCCGCACUGGAACUGAGACACGGUCCAGACUCCUACGGGAGGCAGCAGUGGGGAAUAUUGGACAAUGGGCGCAAGCCUGAUCCAGCCAUACCGCGUGGGUGAAGAAGGCCUUCGGGUUGUAAAGCCCUUUUGUUGGGAAAGAAAUCCAGCUGGCUAAUACCCGGUUGGGAUGACGGUACCCAAAGAAUAAGCACCGGCUAACUUCGUGCCAGCCGCCGCAGUAA
rnacentral:rRNA from 1 species